GAAGGUCACGGCGAGACGAGCCGUUUAUCAUUACGAUAGGUGUCAAGUGGAAGUGCAGUGAUGUAUGCAGCUGAGGCAUCCUAACAGACCGGUAGACUUGAACCUUGUUCCUACAUGACCCGAUCAAUUCGAUCAGGCACUCGCCAUCUAUUUUCAUUGUUCAACUCUUUGACAACACGAAAAAUCCAUUGUUCAACUCUUUGACAACAUGAAAAAACCAAAAGCUCUGCCCUCCCUCUCUAUCUAUCCAUGGGAUGGAAGGGCG
rnacentral:rRNA from 1 species